GAUGAAGAACGUAGCGAAAUGCGAUAAGUAAUGUGAAUUGCAGAAUUCAGUGAAUCAUCGAAUCUUUGAACGCACAUUGCGCCCAUUAGCAUUCUAGUGGGCAUGCCUGUUCGAGCGUCAUUUCAACCCUUAAGCCCUGUUGCUUAGCGUUGGGAGCCUACAGUACUGUAGCUCCCCAAUGUUAGUGGCGGAGUCGGUUUCACACUCUAGACGUAGUAAUUUUUUCUCGUCUGUAGUUGAGCCGGUCCCCUGCCGUAAAACACCCAAUUUAUCAAGGUUGACCUCGGAUCAGGUAGGAAUACCCGCUGAACUUAAGCAUAUCAAUAAGCGGAGGA
rnacentral:misc_RNA from 1 species